GUUGCCUUGGGUGGGGUGGGUAAACCUCUUAGAAAACCAAACAGGAUCGACAAAGCAGAAAAAAAUGAAAGAAUCACGACAAGAUACAGUGCAAAAGUUCCAAUCAUGGGGGGGGUAGUGGGACUAAAGGGAACAGACCUCAGAAGCCAUACACUACUUGUGCUGUGGUCUCAGCUCCAGAGUCUGGGUUGAAUCCAAAACUUUUUCUUUUCUCCACAAGGGUUUUUGGUUGCUGCAGCAGCCUUAGGGUGGGUGGAAGUGGGAAUGGAAAAUGGAAAAUGGUCGAAAAGGGUCCCAUCUCAAGGUGUAUCCUUACAGGGUGGUGUCUGGUUCCAGAGGACAAAGGUACAUCCGACGCUCUUGAUAAGGCCAGGAAGACCUCAAGCUACACACGACCAACUCGCUGGGAGGACGCGACUUUUCAAUGCAUUCAUCCACUCAAUCAUUUUGUCCAGUCGUUUUGGUGCACCACCUCAGAGUGUUGGGUCCGAAGCACCCAUUAGAUGUGCGUCCCAGUAAACAGCUCCACAGCAAUCAUGCACAGAAUCAAAUACCAAGUAAAACUUUUACCUCGCUUUUGCAUCCCAAGCUCUGAACGCAUUGUGGUAGAUCAAGAUCUAGUAUGCAGUAUCCUCUGCUGUUUAAGAGAUGGUGAGUUCCUCCUCGUACUAGAUAAAAACAAAUUAACAAGUAAAAAGUAUAUGGUGAUGACAAUGGAAAACCAUAGACAUAGUGAGUCAAUCAUUAGCAGCAAAGGUCGAAACCCACGUUGCCCUACUCACAACCUUAUCAGCUGCAUAUCUGAAUAAGAUAGCACUGAGAAGGACUGAGAUGGAUGCCAAACUAAGAUGUCAUGAUAAAAAGAUCUCCAUCCAAAUUAAUCAGCGGCAUGACAACGCAAUAAGAAAUCAACGUAAUUGGCACUACUCUUAUUAAGAAACUAAAACUAAAACUAAAACCAUGUAUUUAUGAUCCUUCAUAAAUUAAUCCACUCCAACAACCAACGUCAAUCUACUGAAAACCUAGAAGAUAGGGAGGAGCAGGCUAGAGAAACUUGACGGUUCAUCAUGUUCUAUAUCCGAAUACCCUGCAAAGAUACUAAGGCGUCAUUUGAACAAUAUACUCUAUGUGCCUGUCAUAACUCUACUGGGGUUUUUUAAUAACAUUAAAGCUUGGAGAAGAAAGAAAGAAAAACUCAAAAAGGCAAGCAAAUAAGGUAUGGAAUUGAGUUUCCCAGAUGCAAUUCCCUCUAGACCAACAAAAAAAGGUAUCUUUACACAAGUUGACAAACUAAUAUGGACAAAUAUUCUGAUGAACUGGUGUGAUGUUUAAACUCAAAUAGCAAGGUAGAACUAUGCAUCAAAAAGUAGUUUAAGGUUGUUCAAAUUGCAGUCCCAAUCCGAGAUGCUACUGAACCCAGUUACAGAAAUCUGACCUGCAGUUGAUGCUAACAUUGGAUCCACUGGAAAAUUUGGAUCGUGAGUCCAGAUAUGAUAUGAGACCUUGACCUGGAAACAGACCCGAACUAAACCUAAAUCUAAUCUAUUCUACCCACUAGUCUGAUGGAUUAUGUAGGAUGUGGCAAAUAUAUCUACAUAUUUUAAUGUUCUGUAGGAUAACAGUAUAAUUGACUUCACUGUCUUUGAUGGACUUCUGAGGUACAUUCAUCUCUUCUAAAUGUUAUUACUAUUGUCUCUUGCAGCAUUUUUUUUCUUAUUUCUUUAAUUUUUUGUUUUCCUACAAUAAUUUCUUUAAUUUGUUUGAAUAAAAAUAUUAGACAUCAUCCACUCAUAAGUUGGUUCAUUUGUUAUUAAUUGUACUAGAUGUUGUGGGCUUAUUUUUGGAUCCAUGCUCAACAUGGACUUGGUCUCCUGUAUCCAGUCUAAUUCUGGAUCCAUGAUGGAAAACAUGAAUGGGCAAUGUCCUGGACCUACACCUUACCCAAUGCUCAGAUCAGAUUUGGGUUCAGGUGUAGGUGACAUCCAAUCAACCCAUUACCAUCACUACUAAAAGUCUCCAUCACUGGUGACAGAUAUUGACAACAAGUUUAGACAAGAGAUGGACCUAUCUAAAAACUCAGAAUAUUAAAUUAAAAGAACUUCAUAAACUUAAGCUAAUUUAACCAAGAGACCAUUCUCCUAGGAGUUACUGUGAGAAACAAAAUUAAUAUUCCAACAUGCAUAAGACAAUGAACCAGUCAAGCAAAAUCAAUGACAACAAGAUAAUCAGAUUUUUCUGAUUAAAACAUGCAUUUUGAGCUGUUGAUAUAUUGUACUUCCUGCAUUAGUCUUCGGAAUGAAAAUGCAUAUUUGAAGUGACACAUUAUCUUGCUAGCAUUUUCUUGCCAAAUUUUAACCCACACAAAUGUCUCUUCUGUUCUAUCAUAGAUAAUUUAAAAUUUAUAAUAAGCACAAAACAUUUAACCAAGUAAUGAUAGUUAUCUAAGCAAUCAUGGAAAUGUGUGAAUACUGAUCACCGAUCUACUUAAAUAAUAAAGGCUUACAGUAGGGCAGUUCAAUUGCUGGAAAUAGAAUGGCACCACCAACAGAGGUAAAGUAUCCAUUAAAUAAAACAGGUUUCCAAAUUACACGCAUUACAUUCUUAAAAUCUAUUGACAUGCUUGGAAAAUGUUGUUGGUCCUUGAACAGCUUCAGAAUUGCAGAUAAGGCGAAAAGGGUACACAGAGGCCUAAAUUAUAAGGUGCCUCACAGCUUCAAAAUUGUGGAUAAGUAAAACUGGGUCCACGGAGACCUAAGCUAUAAGGUGCUUCACAGCAGUUGCUCUCAUGUCACUAAAUCUGGGCAUUACUGGCAAAAGAUCCACAUAAUAAACCCAUGAGCACCAGACAGAUGAGCAUGGAGAACAUAAUGGGUUAUAACAAAGUAAUUGCUCUACACAAUAGAAACAAAUGCAAGGUGUUCCAUGAAACGACAUAUUACACAACCUAGUAUCCAAAAUGCACAACCUGACAGUCUUCUAGAAUGAUAUCAACCAUGACCACUAGGCAUUGUUCAAGUUUGGUGCUACUGAGAUGCUUUCCUUGAAAGCAUGUAGCCAAUUAUUCUUUACAAUUAGCAUUAACAGGUCAGAUCUUCAAAGACAUUUCUAUCCUCAUUCUCACAGGACACUAGUGCAAUAGGAUAUGUGAUCGCUCGAGUCAAAUGGACCCGUGGUAUAAAACAAUCGCCAUCAAGUAUAUUUUAAGCCAAAACGCACACUUGAGUCAUACAUAUAUUAACAGAACUUUACUAGAUGCUGACAGGCUUUGUGAAAUUUUUACUUAAAUUAACAUACGUAGCGACAUAUAUUUAACAAGAAAGGAACCAAAUCAAUACCAAACAACAUAUAUUGCACAUUAGGGACCAAAUCCUAUUCACUUGUGCAGAAGUCUUCCAAAGACCACCAUUCCCAAAGCAUAUGCCAAUGGGAUUGUAAAUUCAUAAAGAUUUUACCUAAAGCAAAAGCCAAUCAUAAAGUUGUGCUUUUCAUGCAAAGUUCAAAUAUAUGGACAGUUUACCAAACUGUGGUAAGAAAGAUACCUGAUAGAUGUACAUGUGAGUUUCCAACUAGUAGAUUCCACCUUUAAGUGAACCUAUACAGAUUUUCUCAUUUCCAUCAUCAUCAACUCCAGUCUAUCAAAACCCUAAUUUUCUUACAAGGAUAAGAACCCCGUUAUUCACCCUAUGCUUCUUUAUCAUGUGAAACAGAUCAAUUAAAUGAAUUUUCAUCCACAAAGUUAGUGUAAAAUUGCAUAGUGUUAUUGUACAUCCUAAAACUUCUGAACAUCAGUUCUUUUCCACGCCUGAAUCCAUGCUACCCAAUUACCAUGACGACCAAUAUCCGGUUACAACUGUUAUUAGAAAUUAAAAAAAAACAUUGACACAAACUCAAAGUGGGCUAGUUUUCGUUGCUAUAACACAAAUUUUGACUUACAUGCUUGGAUUACUUAUCUAAAACAACAUUAUAGACCUAUACCAGCUCAAUUAAUUAAUUAACCAUCUUAGAGACUUGAGAUUAACAAUCUUCCAAGUCCUGACAGUUGUGCUGCUCUAAAAGGCUCACCAAAUGAUUAACAACUACAUUAGCCAUGAAUGGGUUUUCUUCUUCAAGUUAGCACACGUUACUACGUAUAUAUGUUUGAGAAGGUUAUGUCAAUCAGAAACUGACUAAAAUGAGGUGAAUUCAAGAUACUACUGACUACUGAGUACCCCAAAACACAAACUUUUUCCAUCUAUAAUUCAACAUAACAUAUGGCAGCCAUCAUUUUGAUCACAAAUGAUAGAAGAAAGAUAAUUGUACUGAAAUCAGUGAACUGAACAUUUAAAGAAUGGUAUAAAAAAAAAUUUAACCAGCUGACAUGUCUAUUUUCCUAGUACUUCAGCAGUUUGCUCUUGCAAAUACAGAUAGUCCAUAACCAAAAUAAUAAUAAUAAUAAUAAUAUAAUUACUGUAGAUAAUGACUACAAAGUACGGGGAGACAGAAGGGACAGAAUACAUACCCAAGAAGAACUCGAACAAUCUGUUGAUUGCCGCAUAAUGUACCCCAAUAAAUUCCUUUCAUGAAUUUUAUGUCAAAACACAAAAUUAUUUAGGAAAAAUAAUAAUCAAUGGGUUGUGCCCAGUCUUCUUUGAGCAACAACGUUUUUAGUGUAUUCAUGAUGUCAAAGUCAGGAUCUAGCUUGCGUUGCCAGCCCUACAAAGAUAUAAAUAGAAAUUUUAAGAAACAUUUUACUCCGAAAACAUUUUUUUUUCCCAAAUUAAAAUCUGGAGCUGUAGCAUAUAAAACAUACAUACAAAAAAUAUUGUUGAAUUCACAUAGGAGACAUACUACCACAAAUUUGUUCUUAAGGAAAAGAGUAACUGCAUUACCCCUUCAACUCCCACAUUUCCAGUAUAAACCAUUUCAAAAACAAUACAAACACAAACCAUCAAGAGGACAACACUUUUAAGGUGAGAAGCAACUACCUCAGUAAGUGCAACUUGACAAAUGUACAGUAAUAAAGAAUAGAAAAAUCAUGUCAGUAUGAAAACAAUCAAGAUUUUUGUCAAAAGUGGUUCCUGAGCACUUAUCCUUUUUUCCAAAAGAUAAAACAAAUUAUAUUACUUCAGAGCCCAGUUCAUCAGAGCGUAGCACAUCAAGGAACUCAGGGAAAACUUAAUUUCCAGAAGAAAUCAGUUUUACAAUUAUUGGCCUUUGAGGCUAACCAAUGGACACAUUGGGUAGCUUCUCUAGGUACAUGAGUUACCAUAAUUUCCUCGAAGGAUUCCAUGGCCAACAAAAUAUUACUAACCAAGUUGGUCAAAAACCAUGAAGGAUGAUUUGCUUGGUUAAGAUUCGAGCUAAACAUUCAGGCAUCCAUCUCAAUAUGCAGCUUUGGAAUUCCUUCUUCCAAAGCAGCAUUUAUCCCCUCCCAAACAGCCAGCGUCUCAUUUAGCCAGCAACUUCCACCCUGAACAUAUUUGCCACCAGCUCCCAAGCAGCAUCCUUGAGAGUUCCUUAGCACAAAGCCAGUGCUCCUUCCCUAGAUCCCUAGACAUUGAGACGUUGACUAAAUCAAGCACAAAGCAGCUGCUUGAUUAAGGUUCCUGGGCACUUGACUAAGACCAACGCCUAGGCCAAACCAGUGUUAAAUGAUUACUAAUUUUCCAUUUACUUAAUACCACAUACAUAUGUAUAUGUAUGCAUAGAUGCAUACAAAUAUAUACACACAUGUAUAGAGUAUAUGUCAACAUGUUUCAAAGUUAAUGUAGUUGAUGAAAAUACUGAGAUGGGGAUAACAAAAUGAUAAAAUCAGAAAAAUCAUUCAUGAUGAUAAAUGUUGAAUGGAAACUUAUCGAUGUCAUGGUUAGACUGGAUAAGCUAAUUCAAACUAAUCGUCCAAAAAAAGAUAGAGGGUGACUUAAGAAUACCCUUCUAGAAACAAUAAGAAAUGAUUUCAAAUCUUUUGGUUUAAGUAGGGAUAAAUAUAUAUAUAUAUAUAUAUAUAUAUAUAUAUNNNNNNNNNNNNNNNNNNNNAAAUAGGACUUUAUGAAAUUGUUNUUGUUACUUUUUAAAUUUCUCCUUUGAUUCAAGUAUUACAUAAGAUGCUAACUAUACACUUGUAAUAGCACACGAACUUCUGAACUCAUAAUUGUGUAUACUGUGGGUUAACUACUAGGAUGUCCUUGGAGAUGAAAUUGUUCUUGUUGCACAUACAUAUGCACAUACUUCUAUACACAUCCAAAAAACAUUUUUUAUACUUUUUAACCUUAAGUUGAAGAUAAAUUGAAUGUAUGGUUUCGAGCUUGAUGGAGUAGUCAUAAACAGCAUAAUGAUAGGUAUGCAUCUUUCCGAUGCCUUUUUUCUUCUCUUUACACAUUACUUAUUUGAUUGCUACCCAUGAGAUCUCACUUUUUCAUAGUUUAGCGACAUGUUGACACAUUGAGUUCAAUUUCUUGACUAAAUUGAUGUUGCAGAUUCCGAGACCAUUAACUAACACAACAAUGAUAUAUUGGUACAAAAUAUGAAAUGCAAUUACAUACUGACAUAUUUCACAAGGAAAUAAAGAGAACACAGAAGAAAAGCAACUAAGCAGUGCUAAUAUAUACGAUGUGAAAUACAUGAAUGCUGGACAGGAAAGUAUCAUUUCGUUACAUAGUGUAUGUGCCUGCUUUAUAAGUGAAUGUACCUCAAGAACCAGAAUGGUCACCAGCACGGUGCAUACAUUGCCAUCAACAUUGACUCUAUGACGCCGAACCUGUUCAAGAAGUUGGUGCAUGCAUUCAACAGGAUGAAAGAUAUCACCUUCACGGGUACCCCAAAAGGUGAAUGUCCUCUCCAACUCCUGUAGAUAGAAGUAAAAGUGUCAAUAUUGAAUGAAUAGUAUGUCAAAAAUGAAGAAGAUGAUUUACUAGUUACAUGGACAGGCAGGAAAAGUUUAUUUUCACAGUUUUCAAGCUCAUACUUCUUUAUCUCAACACUUGCAUUUUCCUAACAAAGAUCAUACUUUUGUACCUCACAUUUGGAAAUCUUAUGGUCUCAUUCAUUAGCCUGUAAGAUGCACUAGAAUUUCAUGAGUGCUACUUUAUCUCUGAGACAACAUGAACUUUUUCUGAAUUCAAGUUAUCCCACAAAUUAACAUAGGCCAUAUGAUUAAUUAGAAAACCAACUGAUAUUGGAUUGGCGUCAUUCUGUUGACUAUAAGUAAUAUGGAACAUGACAUAGAUUUAAAUAUUGAUAAGACCGGUAUUUACUAGUCCAAUAACCAACUGGUACAACUUACCAGUCAAGUAUGAAAUUGAUUGUGCCAUCUGGUAAGCUCAUUGUACCAGGCUCGUUGGAUUGUAAGUAGACUGAUACCAAGCUGUACUGGGCAAUAAACUUGUACCCUGGUUUGGAUUUUUUCGUUUUUUUAGAUUUGAGACGUGACAGCUGUCUCACAUUUCAUUUAGUAUGACAAUUGUUUUUCGUGUUCAGUACUUUUUCUCAAAUACAGUUAUUAAGAGAAGAACAACUGGAAUUAGUGCCGGACCAAGAUUUUGAUCCAUGUAACAUAAUGAAAGGAAAAGAAACACAGACUUUCUAUCAUCCAAAAUUUGCAUUGUGAUGCAUGUAAUUUCUUCUUGGAUGGAUGAUUCAUCGACGGCAACUAGUUUGAUUUAAAAGCAUGAAUAGUGAAAGAAUUAAUAUAAUGCUCUCAAAUACAAACCCAUGGCAACCAUAUUGCAUAGCAUUAAGAGGUAAGUGAUAGUUCAGAUAACUAUGACAAGCUUGGGAGUAAUCAUAAUAGCAUAGAGAACCAUGACAAAUGUAUCAUAAAUAAUUUGGGAAACAAAAAGGAAUUUUUGUUAGAACACAACUAUGACACAAUCAUCCAAUUAUAUAACUAUAAAAAAUUCUGAAAAUAUGCUUAAAAAGGUGACUGUAGAAAUAUAAAGUUAAUGUUAUAUAUUAUUUACAAAGGUGAAACUAGGUAACAUAGAUAAAAUUCAAGUCAGGUAUGUGCUUAGGUAGACUUCUUAGAUAAGAUCAGAACCCAGUUCCAAAAGUCCUAAUGUUUUUAUAUUUAGACCCACACCUAAACCCCAUGGACUUCGAAUUAAGGUUAUAGAGUACUGCCCAAGUCUCGCAGACAAAUAUAUUUGAUUAAACAAAUAAAACAAGUACCAAAAUUGCCCAUUAUUAGUAGGUAAUUAUCAGAACUGGGGUUCCUACAAAAUGCAAUAAGCAUUCCAGUUUACUUUCCCUUUCUCUUUCUCAUUGCGCUGGAUGCCCUUAUGUUCUUAGCAUCAAAUUGAUAUUAUUUCCUCCAUGUAAUUAAUUUAUAAAACUUCUUCUCAGCCUCUUUAGUUCAAGUGCUAGCCACCCCAUGCCCUACCAUCAAUCAUGUAUUUUAAUUGCCACCAUGGCAACAACAAUAACUACCCAUCCAUAACCAAACAGCUCAAUCUCAAUCCUGAAGAAAAUGACCUGUAGGCAUAAGAUAAUCAUUUGACAUGAUCCACAAAUCAAGAAGAAGUUCUUCUUACUUCAUAUUGUCAGUAUCAUGUUUAUUUUGAUAAAAGGGCCUGAAUCAAAGUGAUUUGUUAGGCAUAACCAAACAGCUCAAUCUCAAUCCUGAAGAAAAUGACUUGCUAGGCAUAAGAUAAUCAUUUGACAUGAUCCACAAACCAAGAAUUCUUCUUACUUCACAUAGUCAGUAUCAUGUUUAUUUUGAUAAAAGAGCCUGAAUCAAAGUGCCAAUAACAUUAUAUUGAAUAGAAAAGGAAAAAAGACCAAAAUAAUUAAUCUUCUGAAAAGAAUUAGAUAGCUGAAACUGAAAUAUCACCUCAAUAAAGGCUUUUGGGUUCGGGCAACCUUGAUGCUGUGACAAUUUCAAUGUACAUUCUGCAGCAGUACGACCAUCUCGAAGAGAUACAGCUUUAAAGAACUCCAACAAAUUAGCACGGUCACUUUUAGAGAGUUCAACAGUCAUUCCUACAUCCAAGAAAAUGACAUGGGGCUUGGGUCUAAAUAUCUUCUUCCUCGACCUCUUGGUGUGUGGUACCCGCACAAGGAUAUUUCCAGGGUGCAUAUCCGCAUGAAUAAAAUUGUCAACCUAAAACAUGAAAAAAGAAGAAUUUUGGACUAUUGAAAUUUUACUAAUAAAGUUAAUGGACAAAAGCUGCAAAUGCAAUGUCAGACAUCAGCAUUCAACUUACACAUGGACAAAAAAAAAUCAUAUAAAUGAGCUUGGAAUAAAGUUGUGUCCAUAGUUUGACUAAUGUUCUCUUCAAAAUUGUACAUUUAUGACCAUGCAAAAUGCACAAGAAACAGAUAAAGCAACUACAAGAUCCUGGUGCUUUGAUUCAGAUCCAUACACGUAACAACAAGGAAGCAUGAUAUAGUACUAGCACUUGGAUAUGUAAAAACAAUUUUUCAUAUUAUCAUACAAUAUGAGAAUACAAUAACUAAUAGGCUAUAAACUUACCAGAAGCAUCUUCAGGAGUGCAUGUGUACCAAUGUGUGCCAAAUCUCUUUUAAUCUGAGUAUUUCCUUCAAGCUCAUCAAUAUAGCGUGAAACACUUUCUCCUUGUUCAAAUGUCUCCACAAGAACAGAAGGAUGCACAAGUGGAUAUAAAGGCCUAGGAAAAGACACAUCUCUCCAUCUGCGGAAAUUGUAGAUAAACCGGCUUAAGUGAGCAGCUUCCCGAGAAAGAUCAACUUGAGACAUCAUAAAAACUGCAAAUUGCCGUACACUUUCAUCCAGCCUCAACCAGCUUAAACCAGGAGUUAGGCUUGAAAUUCUGGCUACAAGAUUGAUUAUCAUAAAAUCCCUCCUUAUUGAAUCACCCACACCAGGAUGCCUAACCUUCACAGCAACUUCAAUGGGUUUCUUCAACUGUUGACCUGGAUAGGCAAACCUCAAAGAAGCUCGAUGAACUUGUGCAAUGCUUCCUGAUGCUACUGGUUUUUCCUCAAAGUACUCAAAAAUUUCAGAAAGUUUCCGACCAAACGCCUUCUCGAUGGUGGUUUUGCUGUACGCAAAACUAUGAGCAGGUGCUUUUGUAUGAAGUUUUGUAAGCUCAAGGCAUAGAUCUUUCGGAAAGAGGUCUGGGCGUGUUGCUGCCCACUGACCCCAUUUUAUGAAUGCAGGACCAGCUCUCUCCAGAGUGCGAUGGACAACCCGAAGCCAUCUUUUCCUGAAUUCAAGUCCGAAACUAUCCGCAAAGGGUGCUAACAAGAUAGCUGGCAAAAAUAAGAUCGACAAGUACGCUGCUCGCAAUACCAAAAUAAAACCCUCUAUGAUAGAGAAAAUUACUGAAGAGAAGUAAAGGCUGCGAGCUUCUGCUUGCAUAAGAAGACCAUUUCUUGAACUAUAGAAAUUGCCAUCUGCCCAUGCCUUCUGAGCCCAUGCCAACUCCCCAACACUAAAUGCAAGAAAACCAGGAACUACUUGAAACCGAGUGAAAGACAAGCUCACAGCACAGGCUAACUUACUUAUCAUAGAUAAGGCUGGACCGUCAUACGAACAGAUUAGACUAAGCCUCUCCCAAGCCAAUUUGGCAUGAUGGGUCGCCGAAUAAUUACUCCUCGACAUUGUGUACAAGCUCUUCGUGUAGCUAGAGCUACUUCCGUUAACGUGGCCCAUACCCUUGUGUCGUCCAAGCACGUUAUUACCUCCAACAGGAAACCUAAAUUGCGAAAAAACUCUGAACAAGAGAAAAGGUAGCCCUUUCUUCCUAAGCGACCCAUGACUCCUCGAAGCUAAGAAGUCAAUUCUCUGAUUUGACUGGAAAAAGUACCCCGCCUUUUUAUUUUCUUGAGAUAUCAAUAACCUACAUGAUCAUCAAAGGUUUGUCGUUUCAAGUAAUCGCAACAUUCAAUGCUCUAAUUUCUCGGGAACGCAUUUGCGAUCAAGGUCGACGAUUUGAACCACUCAAAAUAACUAAGAACAAAUAAGCUAGUAUUUUAAUGUUACACAAAAAAAAGGAAAUCUGUUUUACCAAAGAAACAGAAUAAGUACAAGAAAACCAUUGCAACGAUACAUAAUUGAAACCUCAAAAUCAACCAAAGAAAUAAAUGAAAGUUUUGGGACGGGAAAAUAAGAUAGCGGAGGGAGGGAAUACCUUCCAUGAAACGCCAGGAUGCGGAACAUUGGGGAUAGUUCAUAACCCAACGGCUCGAGAAGAGAUCGGGAUUUGGAAAGAUUACCGAUACAGGGAAGAGUUUACCAGAUUGGCCGACAACAUCCCAAACUUGUUGGAGAAAUCAUCGGAGCAGAGAGACAUUUGAAUUGUCCUCGGCGGCUGAAGUGGUCGCUAGGGCGAGAGCGCAUCACCGAACGGAUGACUGCGUCCAAAACCCACCAGGCCUGGUUUUCAAUGGCGGUGAGAAGAAGAAAUAGCACGCAAGUUGUGGCGGUCGCAGUAGCAGUAAUGGUAGGGGAGGGAGAGGGGGACGUGCGAAGGGUUUAUUCCGCUCCAAGAAACCAUAGGGCCAACCAAUAUCCGGAGAGUUCGGAUGUCUGCCCUAGGCCACCAGACAGCGCCAGGCCAAACGGUUCGGCGUUCGACAGCAUAAACGAGGGAACGAGACUACGUGGUCCGACCGAACCACUUCAUUCUCGUGGGGUCCGCCCUAAUCAGUCUGUCAAGCAACGUUCAUGUAUCUUUCACUUCAUAUUGAAAAGUAAUCACAUAUUCCAAAGAGAUAUAAUGGUUUAUAUUUAUAUUUAUAUAUAUAUAUAUAUAAGAUUCUAGUAAUUAAUUUUAGUAAAUUAAAGUAAUUUUAAUUAAUUUUUAAUUUUUUUUAAAGUUUACUUAACUUAAUUUUAGUAAANNNNNNNNNNNNNNNNNNNNAUAAUGGUUUAUAUUUAUAUUUAUAUAUAUAUAUAUAUAAGAUUCUGUAAUAAAUUUUUGAAAUUAAGAAUUUAUAUUUAUUUUUUUAAAGUUCACUAAUUUUGAAAGGACAAAAUGAGUAUAUUCACCUUCCAAAAUGGAUAAUUCUUAACGAACCAUCACACCAAUAAUAAUCAAAUAUAACUUAUUUGAAGGUAUAGUAUAUAGCACAAGAUCAAUGCUUAGAGUGUAAAGCUAUGAUCGAUUUGGUAGACCGCAACCUAUUUAACCGAAUGGAGACUUGACAUGGAGACUAAGGCCCAUGGAUCAUGUUCGAGAAGGCCUGAUCCGGUAAUUGGAUUUCGUUUUUGUUGCGACAAAGCCUAGAACGUUUCACAACAUGACCAAGAAAUGGGCUGCUAGGAUGAUCCCACCAACUUCUUGUCUGCCUGUUGAGAGCUUCACAUCAUUACGGUCCAAAUCCUGCUAAACUCUCACCGCUUACUUAUCUUUGGAAGGAAAUCGAUAUCGCCUACCGUUACCGCUGGAAAUUAUGCGUUUGCCUAUACGACGACUAAAGAGAAUUGCUGGCGAGGUCUCGUAUAUCCCAAUCGCAAAACGUCCGCAGAAGGUGCAGCCAAGAUAGACCUGUCAUUGUUGGCUACAGAGACGUGCAGAUGGGACGACGAUGGCCUUUUCAUUUGCUUGGCCAGUGGGCUUCCAACGAGGUGCUUUAUUUUUCUUUGGUCGAACGACGUGUUCUAAUCCAAAGUGCAUCGACUUUGAGCAGAAAGCUUCUGUAGAAUAAACGAGGGUGGCUUUGACCGUUCCUUUGGGACUUUGUGUGUCACUGAUGCCCUUCCAAUUUGACUUUUUGGCAUACGAAGAAUUUUACGGCAUUUGCUCGAACGUUGUUGUCACGUCCCUACGACAAUUUUCGAGAUAAGGACAUAAUGAUUCAUCCUCCUCCUCCUCCAUGUCUAUGCAAACUUCCUUAGUAUUUACGAUACGUCGUCUGAUGUCGCAAAGGCAGACAGCUUAGCCGUACGGAUAGCAGACCACGCGCCUGGCAACAUACACCGUCGUCUUUCACGUGGGACGUAUUGUUUUGGUUGUACGUGGAAAAUAGCGUACUGUAUGGCCGCCUAAUAGUUGUCCCCACUACCGUUCACGCAAUAAUGAGACGAGAGUAUACCUUUCGCGCUCAUUCACAAUGCAGGCCACGAAGUGCAUACAUACGUACACGUAAAUCUCAUCGACAAUUUCUUGCGAGUCGUCUUCUGGUGCAUGUAUGACACCAUGGAUGUCUCGUUGUACUCCUCUCGAUUACCAUGCAGAUCGAGUGGUGAAUCUGACAACACCUAGUUAGCCAGCCUUCAUAUACCAGUGCAGGUGCUUCCGGACUUCUCCUCGAAGAAUCAAAUUAUGUGACACUCGUAUUUGAGAACAAGAAGUCACCCCUUUCCAGCAAUAAACUGAAGCUAAAGACACCUUAUUCAUUUGGUUCGAGGCUGAAAGUAGCACAGCCUGAUUACAUAGAAUUUCUAAGCGCUGACAGAGACAUGUCGGAAUACGUAUAACACAAUAAAAACAUGAGAAGAAUCCUUUUUCUGAAUAAGAAAAAAGGUGGAGAAGGAAAGAAAUGAGAGUAAGUAACAUUCAUUUCUCUCGUUUCUCCUUUCUGUUCUCCGUCUUUUUUUUCUUCGCAUGUAAUUGCUCACAUCCAAGAGAGAUCAGAGAUUUGAUAGUUGGAACAGGCCACUGAAAUCUCUCUCCUUCUCAUCUUCGAUGCUACUGUUCACCGCGUACGUCACCGAGGAGUUCAACUGGGUCGGACUCGAUGAAGGUGUCAAUAAUUCAGAGGCCGCAUUACGAUUUUGACGAUUGUUUGUCCAAUAUGUAUUGGAGGUGUUGACCAUCGGUUGGAAGAAGCAUGGAUCCAAGUUUCCAUAGUUGACACCCGCUGCUGCCACUAGAUUAGGUUGCAUCACGAUAUCUUGCAACGGGUUGACAUCUGAAGUUGGAUGGAGCUGUGCCUCAUCAAAGAAUGGAUCGUUUGAAGCAGUGGAAGAACGUAGUUUCUUAGAUGGAUUUAAUUGUAGCUGUUGUGCUUGAAAAGAAGCUAUUUGGUCUUCAACUCGGACUGUCGGGUACUGUUGCUCUUGAAGGUUUCGAUCAAGGAUAUCUGAGUAUUGGCAUUGAAAGGAUAAGAGGUUGGUGGCCAUCAUCAGUAGCUCGCAUUUGACGUGUGGUUCGAGACCUAAUAACACAGAGACGUCGAGUUGUGACGUCGGGUUGAGCAAGGACGGUGUGUGGAGCGAAGAGGGGUCGAGGAGAUGAAGGCGAGGGGUGUGGGUGACAGGAUCGAUGCCCAUCCCGAGAAGCUUCCUCCUGAUGUGCGUGUUCCAGUAGUUCUUUAUCUCAUUGUCUGUUCUUCCCGGCAAGCGAGCAGCGAUCGCCGACCAUCUGUGUGUAAUCCAAGAUGAGAAUAUCAAGCACGUAAGUCAAGGUUUUCUUCUAACAGGAGGCCUAAAUCCGAGAGACUUGGCUACAACUUACUUGUUGCCCAAAAUACCAUGUAGUCGGAUGAUUGUCUCCUCCUCUUCAAAAGAGAACCUCCCUCUUUUGAUGUCAGGCCGCAGGUAGUUCGUCCAUCGAAGACGGCAGCUCUUGCCACAUCUUGCGAGGCCUAUCCACGUGACCGCAAGCGAGUUCAACAAUAAUGCAAGACUCGGGAAAGUAAUCGAUGCUUAUAUCUGAUGUUUCCUUACCAGCUUUACCGGGGACAGUUCUCCAAUUGCGUUGCCCAUGCUUCUGUAUGUAGUCGAUGAGCUUCUGGUCCUCUUCAGGUGUCCAAGCCCCCUUCUUCAAUCCAUUCUUGGGGCAACAAGGUGGUCUCCCCAUGUCCAACUAGUGUGAUUUCGGGACAGACGAGUGGAAUCGAUCUCGACCUUCAGGGAGAGACGAGUACUGGUCUCAUUAUGGACAGACGGAUACAAGACUAACUGUACGUAUGGUUUAUAUAGAACGGAAGAUCCACGAAAGGCUGAGAGGGGGCAGGGAAGUCUAACGGAUUCCGUGCCGGCGUAUGUGUUUCACGCUGGCGACACCUCUCUUCGUGGGCGCCAACCUUUCGAGGCUUUAAAGACCCAGUAAAGUUUUGGAACGAAGGGUACACAACCAUUAAGGAAGGAGGGAACCUCCAACCUUAUCUGGCCAUCACCAUGGGCUGAUUUCAACCACGUGUUGACACGUAGCCGAGUGAUGGGAUGCAGAAGUGACAGGCGGUUGGUCCCACCAUCGUGGGCUUUCCUUUCCCCCGCCUUCACGGAGGUCUUGCUUGGAUGUCUCGUGCGAUUACAUAAGCCGUGGCACAGAUGACAGCAGGGAUGAUGUCUGCACCAGUACGAACGGUAGCAGGAUUACUGGCGAACCAUUGGAGCAUCCCUGAGCUUUCCGGGAAGUGUGCGGUGUUGAACCAUAGAGAUCUGAGAGUCAAACCUAAGGAACCAAGGUUGAUGAAACGGGCCGCUGUCAUGGCUUAGGAAGAUUUCAAGAUGAUGUACCUCCUUGUCUCUUGCAGAGAAAUAAAUGUUUCGGAGGUUUCUUACAAGAAACAUGCUGCAAGAAUAAUGCACCAUAUAGACACCAAUCGCAAUUACUUCUCAACAGGAACUACUCACCUUGACAAAACUUCACAGCGAUGCAGAAAGCGUUAGGAAGACUCAAAUGUGAUCCUCUUCUCAUGGACGAGCUGCAUAUUGUAACAACAGCGAAGACUUUCGAGAUCAUACACCAUGCAAAAUCUAAUAAAUCAAUGCACUGAGAUGGCCCAAGACACGUUACAAUCGAUGCCACGCUACAGCCAGGUCAGUAAGGGGAGCACCCUCACACGUUAAGUCAGAAUCCGUACCGAAACACUGGUUGGCAUGUCCCGUCCCGAAAGCUCGGGCGGCACCGUCUGACACCGUCCUGCGCGUCCCGGGACAACGACUGCAAAGUACUGUCUUGUCCCCCGAGGAUCAGCUACCACAUCGAAUCCACGUGUGACCGACCCUCGUACAAUAAUAUAAAACCGACCCUCGUACAAUAAUAUAAAAAUCUAUGACCAGCAUCCGGUAAAAGAGGGAGGAGGACAUAAAAGAGAAGAAAAAAAUAACUUCUGACUUGCUUGUCGGAGGGGCCAAAGUCGGGAAUCACCUAACGAAGGUUAUUUUUUGCAAGCAAGCGACCACCCCUGAGCCACGAGCAUCUCGACCUAGGACUCACCAUCCAAUAAACGAGAACGAGCUGCCAACCAGCCCGGGAAUGGAGAGACGCUGCUCAACGCAGACGACGCCCGAACCGAGAAACACUGAUCAACACCCCGUCACGAGGGCCCGGCCUACCUCGACGUUCAACUCAGUCAAUAAAGAACUCCCGACAUCGACCCGUGGACCGAGCCAUGCUGACUCACCAACCACGAUACAUUUGUUUACCGACACUCACCAUGUUUUACAUGAGCUUUCUGUUUCAGAUCACUGCCAAUAUGCUGUAUGCUGACAAGGGAUUAAUCUUUUGUUAUAAGAUGCUGAUUGACAAUUGAAGAUGGUAAUAUCAAUGUUGCAGAUUGUACAAGGGAGUCGAGUGAAUGAAGGAAAGCAGCCGAAUAGAUUUUGUGAAUCUGGAUUCUCCUACUUCAAAAUAAGACAUUCCGAAUGUAAAAUAUAGCUGCAUAUACAACAGGAUUAGGAAAAAGGUACUGGAUUCUCUUGAGGCUUCUUCCAUGAUUCAAUUAGGAAAAAGGUACUGAACAGGCUGAAGCUUUGUCAACCAAUCACUGGCAUGGUUCAUAACUUGAAGGUCACAGAACGGAAAUCUCCUGUGCACUUUGUGAUGGCCUCAUUAGCUUUCUGAGUUCCCGAUCUUUCUUCUCUCUUCUUUUUUUCUCUGCAUAAAUGGCAGUCGACAUAGCUACAUCAGAAUUCAGAAAAUUCAAACAUUUUUCAAACUUAAAUUCUGCUAUCUAAGAUUUACAGCAAACAAAUAUAUAAUAUUCUUCGAUUAGUAAUAUUUUAGGUUUUCCCGAUUUCCAAGAGUCAGCCAAUAUCAUGAAAUCCAGUUAACUAUUUAUCAAAAAUUUUGCUCUAGACACAUAUAUAAGACCAGAUAUUUAUAUUUUCAACAAUUACUUUCAUUGGAAAAGCUGUGUUUUAUCCUAAAGAAAUGUAUGAAUCAGAAAUAAAUCAACAAAGUGCACAAAUAGCACUUCUCGAUAUUGUGUGAUGUUUAAUGCAGUGUUCACCCAACUUCAUCUGUAAUUUGAAGACCAAGACAGAACAACUUCCAAAACUAAUCAUUUACCUGUCCACAUAUUCCUUCAAAAGCUCCUUUGCUUGAACUAAUUUCGACAGAAGAUUGCGAUACACAUCAAGAUCUCUAUCCACACUGCGUUUAUUUAUAUUCAGUGCAGCACAAAGCUGUGAAACAGAAAAAAAUGAGUCAAUGCUAACCCAAGAACAAGGGUAAACCAGGCUUUCAUGAAUCAGAACACAGUGUAACGAGCAGUUGCAUAAGUUUAGACAAUGAUAAACUUGUGCACCAUAUGGGCUAUAUAUUGUCGCUGAGACUGUAGCUGAAUCCAGAAAGAAGAAACCAAAGUUGUAUACAAAAAGAACAUACAAAAUUGAAUCAGCAUUUUUUUUCAGCAUGUUUCUGGGGAAAAAAAGAAGAACUGACCUACAAAAUGAAAAUUACCAAUUAGAGAUUUAGUUCAUGAGGAUGUGUGAUUUCAUUUUCUCGAGAAGUUAUAACCAUGCAAGCUAAAAGUAAAUAUUUUUAGGGUCCUGUAAAUGGAUGUCUUGAAGCAUUCAUUAAUAAUGCCCUCACCAUAUUUAAUUAUGUGAUGUAGUGGAAGUUCUAAGUGUCAUAUAUGGAUCAAACUGUCUACACCAUGUGCAAGACAAAUUUUCUUAACAUGAAGUGACCAUGCUAUUAUUUUCCAAAUUUAUAAAACUAUCUUUCUAUCUUCACUAUCAGUAUGAAUAUUAACAAUAAAGAGGACAUCUCAAACUAGUCAUCAUAGUCUCCUAGAAAUAGGGAUGCAGAAGUGGAUAAAAUGCCAAAAAAAUAUAUUUAUAAUGUUCAGAUAUUCCAGAAGUAAAUAAAAAGGUUAGAAGUAAGAUGGUUCAGUAUGAAAGCAGCAGGUAUCUACAACAUUUUUUUAAUAGAGGAAAUAAAAAGAAAAGGAAGAAGAAAAUCAUCAGGAAUUAAAAGAUAAAUAGUUUAUGUGAUGGAAAAAGUACAACCUUUUCCAAGACUGUAGGUUCAGUUGCAUUUGCCAGCUCAAGUAGACGGAACAGUCCGAUCGCAAAGAAUCGACUGUAGCUGAAGUUUCCCUUACUCAGUGCCCGCUCUGAGAUAUCUUUCAAAAUGGUCUCUACUUCUCCUUCUCUGGUGGAGAACUCUAUUAAUGAAUUAGCAGUCUGAGCACGAGCCCACUCCUCCAGCUUUUUGGCAUCACUUCUGCACAACCAAUAAUCAACAAGUUCAUUGUUAUUGAAGGUUGGUGGUACAAAUUUAUAAAAUAUUGGAUAGAAGCUAACAAAACUUACAAUGUCGUACACAUAUACAUCACUGAAUGUACUUCUAACCAUAUAGGUAUAGUAACUUGUAUGAAGAAGCAUUCAACUAAGCUGUGGUCUCGAUAUGUGUCACAUAUCAGUUGCAACAAAAUCAGUCUUCAAAGCUUAUGGUUAUAUUGGAAACCAAGUUACAGAUAGCAGCAAGACAAAAAUGCUUGCUAAGGUACACAGUUGCAAAGAUUAAUCAGGCCAUCCCAAAGGUGUUCUUGCAAUGUAUUUAGGCGUAAUAACUUGCCAAGAAGCAUUAAUUGGGUAUUCCUGUUUAAACAUCACUCCUAAAGGCAUUUUGGUGAUACUCUAUAACUGUUCUAGAGUUGGGUCAGGUGUGAAAUAGAAUAGGGAUAGUAGCCAUUUAAACUGAUCACCCUUGGAUUGUAUCAACGUGUUAUAAAGGACAAACUUAUUGGAAAAGGCUCAGCUGACACAAAAAUGGCAAAAACAAUCUCGUUGUUUAAAAAUUCUGUCCUGAAUUAUAUAAUAGACCGAGCUGCAAAAUAGAUUGUGGCCUCAGAUAUUAUUAAUGUGAAGUUAUUCCAUGGAUGCCUAGAUGGUGACCAACUUUUGUCAUCUUCGUCAUAUUCUUUUUUAUUGUGUGGCUUGUACCAUAAAAAAUUCCUAAUUAAUUCUAUUCUCCUUAGUUUCCCUGAUCAACUGUUACUACACUAUGGUUCCUCUUAAGCAAGUCCAGCAGCCUCAAUCUGCAUCAAUUGAUAGCAAAGUGGAUUAUGGGGCAAAUGUAACACUGAAAUUAGCCUAUCGCUAAUAUCCUGGCUUUCACUCAGUUUCCGGUCUAUUUCAUCCUUUGUUCAUAAUCUUAUAUCAUAUCAUCUUUUAGCUAUAACCAAGAAUACACUAUGAUCAAAAGAGUGGAAAUGAGGUCAAAGCAGACACAAGGACCAAAUGAAACUGAAGUUGAAGUACUUAAACAAGGUGAAUGAUCAAAGAAUAUCUGAACGGACAAGGACAAAAAUACGUGACAAGCCUCGCAAUAUAUAUAUAUAUAUAUAUAUAUAUCUAUCUGUUAGGAUCAAGAGCGGGGUUGGCACUAAGAGGGGAGGGGUGAAUUAGUGCAGCGGAUAAAAUCACGUCUUCAAAAAACCUUCGUACGAUAAAAGCUGAUUUCAACGAAAAACCGAUUUCGGAAACUUAACUUGAAAGCGUACGUAAAUGUAUUGAAGGCAGUAAGCUAUUAAAGAGGUUUGCAGUAAAGAUAAAUGACAGGAAGUAAAUGCAAACCAGAGAACACAGCAGUUUUAGAGUGGUUCGGUCAACGUGACCUACAUCCACUUUCGGCUUCCUCCUCCGACGAGGUCACCGACGUCCACUAGAGGCCUUCCUUCGAUAGGCGUAGGCCAAUCACCUUUUACACCCCUCUUCUCCUUUUACUGAGUUUAGGAGACAACCCUUGCAAGCACUCACGUACUCCUCUCUCAAACUAGUCUAAUACUUAGAAGAGGGAGAGGAGUUCACACAAGAUUUUAGCAGCGUUUCUUUCUUUUUUAAACUCUCUGUGCUUGUAUGCUUUAACCACUUUCCCAUCCCGGGUUCCCCGGGCACGGGCGGUACCAUCACCUGCGCUGGGUGGUACCACCGCCCAGUGUCAGUCUGACACUGACACUGCCCUGGGCGGUACCACCGCUCAGAUCUGGCGGUACCACCGCCUGGGGGGCAGUGCUAGGCGGUACCACCGCCUGACACAGUCUCGAACACUGUGCCAUAACGGUGAGACUUCUUGGGGCACAGUUCUUACAUGGGCCUAGCUGGCUCCUAAUUGGGUUGGCCCAAAUCCAAACCCAAUUACGUGCUAAUUACGAUCUAAGACAUAAUCUGAGCUAAACAAGUCCGUAAUUUUAUUCUUCUGGCGAGCUUCCGGCGAUCUUCCGACGAUGUUCCGGUGGACUCCCGACAAGCUCCUGGACUUCACGACGAUCUUCUUGGCGAGUUCCAACGAGCUUCUAUGGCAAGCUUCGAGACUUCUCGAUUGGUUCCGCCAGAACUUCCGAUGAACGUCCGAACUUCCGACGAACUCUCGAACUCCCAACGAAGUCGUGUCCUUGACUCCGGGACUUCAUUUUGCUUCAUGCCUUGCUAUCGUAAUUAAUCAUGCACAUGUAAAACACAUUUCGAUCUAGACAAUUCAUACUAAGCAUUAAUCAUGUUGUCCGGCAUGUCAUUGGUCCCUUGACGCUUCGUUCGAUUCUUCGGCGCAUCGUCCUCUCUUGCGGCCUAUUGCCCAAUCGGCCAGUUGACUCCGAAACUCUGAUAUCCUUGGUGCAAUAUCCGCUCUUCUUGGCCCGAUGCUCGAAUCCAUGGCACGAAGUCUUCUGUCGAUACGUCGACCGAUCCACUGGCACAACGUCUAAUCUUCUGACAUGUUUUCCCCCGACACAACAUGAUUCUUCCUGCUUUAAUUGUCUCAUCCUGAUCGAAGCAUCCUGCGUCACUCAAAACGCAGAUUAAAACAGAAACACUUAUCGAUUGGUUUCAUUAUCAAAAUCCAAGAUUCAACAAUAUCCUCAAAUCAAAAUUGGGCAUGUAACUCCCACAAAUGAACACUAAUAAAGAAUGAGCAAUAGUAAAUAGCCACACACCACAACCACCAUGACUUCUCUUGACUGAACAAUGAGCAAUAGUAAAUAAAGCUCCCACAAAUGAACACUAAUAAAGAAUCACCCUUCACUUUUGUAACUCCACAAAUGAACUGACAAAAUUGCGGGCAUGUAAGACCAUAAAAAAUUUUGUAAAGGCUAGGCAAAACUUUCAAUAAUUCCUAGAAUAAAAAUUGAUAGAACCAUUUAUUUAAAGUUAUCUGGAUAAAGUAAACGAAUUUGUGCAUUUUUUAAAAAGCAUGCAUAAUUACAAAAGAGGUAGCAGGUAGAUUGGAAUAAUCAAGCACCUGUACUGCUCAGGAUCCUCCUUCAAUGCCUGAAUAUAUGCCUGGAAGAUGGCAUCUCGAUCCUCACUGUUUGGAUACCCUUCCAUAAGCUGUUCAUAAACAGUUACGAAGCCAAGGGCAAAGACAGCAUCAUACUGGUAGGUCCUUUUGUAUCUCAUCAGAUGUUGCUGCACAAGCAGCUCUUGCAAUACAGUGUUGUAUAUGCUUGGAAUGGGCCGCUUGUAUGACUUGAGAAAAUUCAAUUUUGUUUCGGAUACAGUGGGUGGCGCAUCUAAUCAGUAAAAGUAAUAACAUAUACUUACAAACAAACAUUUCCUCCUGAAUUAUGUCAAAUUUCACUAAAAAGGAAUAGGAAGAAAUAAAAAAGAUGAAGGUUAUGUUUUAUUCCUUUUGAAAACAACAGUAUUAAUGUACAUGCCAUUACGAAGCUGCUUUCUGCAGCCAUCUAUGUUUGUGCAUUUUACUAUCGCCAAACCCCCAUGGUGGGGUUGUCGGGAUAGUUAAUCUACAGCACAGAUAUACAUACCAAAUGCUCUGGAAGCGUUUCUUGGGGAUUGAGUGAAAUGAAACUAUAAAUACAGAGGAAAAAUACGCCUUGUAAGUAUAACCCUAGUUCUUGAAAUAAGAAGAUUUCGAAUCUAUAAACCGCGAAGAAAACUAAAAUUACAGCGGGCAGAGAUGUGCCAAACAGGAAUAUAAAUUAUUGACGCUUCAUGCUGAAAAUUAGAACUUCAAGCGCACGGAAACGAGUCGGGCUAGUCGAAAUGAAAACAACGAGAUAAGAAGCACCAAGAACAGAGUUGGCGAAAAGAAAUUAUAAAAAGCUCACAGCUUGCGGCCGCCACGCAGCGGACUACCAUCCGGGAGCUGAACUUAGGGGCUUCAAAUCGGAAUCCACGGAGGGCAGGACCAGCGAAGGUCAGUCUCCUCUCGGCGGCUUGCCUACAAGGCGAAGCGAAGGAUACGGAUGGUAUGGAGGCCAUCUAGGGCUUAUUUAGGGCUCACUCUCUUACGAGACGUCCGAAGGAGAGAUAAAAAAAAAAGGAAAGGGCAGAACAAACUAGGGUUCCGAGGGAAGGAUGAUGGUCGUCGCCGGCGGCGGGAACAGCAUUACGGGGACGGCGAGCAGGGAGGCGUCCCUUGUGAGGAAGAGAACGGCCUUAUCUCGGGUUUCGGAGAAAGCAUCUCAGCCAGUAACAUGAUGCCACUUGGCAGAUUCUUUCCGAAGAUCCUCUGUAGCACAAGAAAUAUAUUAUUAUUUUUAAUUUCUUUUUAUCCAUUUCGGAUAAUGAUUUUUCGUCGCAGUAAAUGUUUGACUUCUCUUUGUAAAUAUUUUCGGCUCAUAUCUACAAGACACGUAUUUCAAUUACUUCUUAAAUAUUCUACUAUAUAAUAUGGUGGAAAUUGUCAUAAGGUCACUGACAGCUACGACCAUGAAACCAACACAAGCCUCGCAGACCUUUCAAUGCCCAACAUUUUAUCCCAGCUUAACAAGCCCACAGUCCACCCUCUCUGAAUCAAGCCUGGCUAAUUGGCUAAUUGGGCCAAAAUGGGCCGUCUCCGGUGACCACACCAGGCGUAUACCCGUUGGACGUCACUCCUCACCGUGCAUGGAGGGCUACGGAUCGAAAUCCCGUCCGUCGGACGGAUGAAGGACGGAAACCUUUGACCAAUCAGCUCCAUCGAGUACAAAAGCAACGCAGUCGAUUCCUCGUACGAUCCAAUGGCUAGAACCGCUCUGUGUACUACGUGUCAGACGAUCCAUGCAAUUGCACCAAAAAGCUAAAAGAGCACCGAGGAUACGGAUGAGGUUCCUUCCUGGGACGCAGAUAUUUUUACUUGCUCCGUGCCAGGUCAGCACCUUUUCGAUUCCAGACGCUUCCUCCUCUCACCGACACGUGCCCCUUGGCCUUCCCGGCCUUUUCCCGAUUUCUUCACUGCUGCUCUCGGUGUCCACUGGCUACAGUCGGUAGCUUCGCCCCUUGCCCUGCUCUCCCCUUCCUCUAUAUAAACCCUUCACGUCCUUCUUUCCCUACGCCUUCACUUUCGUCGGAUUCGCCAGCGCGCCGGUGCGGUUGUCGUCGAGUCGGUUUGCGACUGUGUGGUGGCACACAAUUGGAGGGGCGGGAGAAUGAGAGCGGUGAUGGGACUCAAGGAGCAGGCCGUGAAGUCAAUUAAAGAUACUGCCGGUGGCGUGACCUCCGGCUCGCACAGAGCUAGACGGCUGUCCGGCGGCCUCGACUCCUCCUCCCAUGAUUUCAAGCCUGCCGAGGCCCGCGGUGAGGGUAAGGUGAAGAGGGCCGAGGAGUCCUUGCGCACCGUCAUGUACUUGAGCUGCUGGGGUCCCAAUUAACCUGAUCUAUAUGCCAUCCCCUUUUGUUCCUCGAUAGAAGUAUCGAUCACCUCUUCGAUGCAUACAAAAGAAGAAGACUCAUCGUUAGUGUCAGUGUAUAUAUAUAUAUAUAUGUAUAUAUAUCGGCUUCAAUGACUUUGUGUGCAUGGCUGUAAAAAUUCCAUUGUAAGAAUGUACAAAAAGCUGAGGUCUUGGGGAAGAUAAUGGAUGUUUUACCUUGCUCUGUAAUUCCAUGGUUUCCUGUGGUAGCAAAAGUUCUUGUUGAAACUGUUGCCUCUUCUCUUGCUAAUAGUUAGUGCAAGCAGCUGAGCCGUAUAAUAAACAGAGGAAGAAACAGAGGGGAACAAUAUAAUAAUUGGAUUGAUUGAUUGAUUGAUUCAAUGAGGACGAGACAUACACGCAGACGAUAAUAAUUGGACUUGUGAACCAUGAUUGAGGCCCCGCCGUAUUAAUGAAUUAUAGGGCAUGAUUGUGAUGGAUGGGAUCAAGCGACGGAUACAAACGAAAUGGUUGUCGACCGCAUUGUACUAGUCCUGGAAUCGGAAAGAAGCGUUCGCCGCUGUCAAAGGGGCCAUCUUUCUUUGGAGCUUCUCGGUGGCCUAUCCACGAGACAUGGUUGUGGUGAGAUGGGUUUGACAACGUUAGAACGGUGCCUGUUUGCCAUUAGAUAUUAACAACGUACAUUUCAAUCUGUAUGUGCACAUAUAAUGCAUAAACUAGUGAAGAUUACUUUGGAACUUUGACUUCCUACUGGACCUACACAUUAUAUUAUAUUUCUUAGCCCUACAAACCAGCCGACUCACGCAAUCCGUCUAAUAUCUAUCUAUAGCUGAUUAUUAUGUUCCUCACGCUGUGCUUUCUUUGCGUUCCAAGAGAUGAAUUAACACACCGAUUCUAAUUGGGUUGCAGAUACAGUGUUUGGACAGCGACUCGACAUAAACCCAGACUCGAUAUCAAACUAAUCUUCGGACGUCACAGCAGCAUACGAGUUCAUGUCGAUUGUAUGGCUGUUUAGACGAACUCCA
rnacentral:lncRNA from 1 species